rnacentral:rRNA from 1 species
UACGUAGGGCGCAAGCGUUGUCCGGAAUUAUUGGGCGUAAAGAGCUCGUAGGUGGUUUGUUACGUCUGCUGUGAAAACCUAGGGCUUAACCCUGGGCCUGCAGUGGAUACGGGCAGACUAGAGGUAGGUAGGGGAGAUUGGAAUUCCUGGUGUAGCGGUGGAAUGCGCAGAUAUCAGGAGGAACACCGAUGGCGAAGGCAGAUCUCUGGGCCGUAACUGACGCUGAGGAGCGAAAGCGUGGGGAGCGAACAGG